rnacentral:rRNA from 2 species
AAAUUGAAGAGUUUGAUCAUGGCUCAGAUUGAACGCUGGCGGCAGGCCUAACACAUGCAAGUCGAACGGUAACAGGAAGCAGCUUGCUGCUUCGCUGACGAGUGGCGGACGGGUGAGUAACGUCUGGGAAACUGCCUGAUGGAGGGGGAUAACUACUGGAAACGGUGGCUAAUACCGCAUAACGUCGCAAGACCAAAGAGGGGGACCUUCGGGCCUCUUGCCAUCAGAUGUGCCCAGAUGGGAUUAGCUUGUUGGUGAGGUAACGGCUCACCAAGGCGA